rnacentral:rRNA from 1 species
AUUGAACGCUGGCGGCAGGCCUAACACAUGCAAGUCGAACGGUAACAGGAAGGAUCUUGCUUCUUUGCUGACGAGUGGCGGACGGGUGAGUAAUGUCUGGGAAACUGCCUGAUGGAGGGGGAUAACUACUGGAAACGGUAGCUAAUACCGCAUAACGUCGCAAGACCAAAGAGGGGGACCUUCGGGCCGCUUGCCAUCGGAGGUGCCCAGAUGGGAUUCGCUAGUAGGUGGGGUAACGGCUCACCUGGGCGGCGAUGCCUAGAUGGUCUGAGAGGAUGACCAGCAGCACUGGAGCUGGGCCACGGUCAAGAGUCCUACGGGAGGCAGCAGUGGGGAAUAUUGGACAAUGGGCGCAAGCCUGAUGCAGCCAUGCCGCGUGUAUGAAGACGGCCUUCGGGUUGUAAAGUACUUCUAGGGGGGAGGAAGGGAGUAAAGUUAAUACCUUUGCUGAUUGACGUUAACCGCAGAAGAAGCACCGGCUAACUACGUG